AGUAACACGUAGUCAACCUGCCCUUAGGUCCAUUAUAAUCUCGGGAAACUGAGGCUAACGGUGGAUAGGCGAUAAUAUCUGGAAUGAUUUAUCGUUUAACUAAGGAUGGGACUGCGGCAGAUUAGUUUGUUGCCAGGGUAACGUCCUGACAAGACGAUAAUCUGUACGGGCCUUGAGAGAGGAAGCCCGGAGAUGGAUUCUGAGACAAGAAUCCAGGUCCUACGGGGCGCAGCAGGCGCGAAAAUUUCCCAAUGCACGCAAGUGUGAGGAAGAGAACCGAAGCGCUUUCUCUUAGGAGAGAGCUUUUGUUAAGUCUAAACAGCUUGGCGAAUAAGGAGUGGGUAAGACGGGUGCCAGCCGCCGCGGUAAUACCCGCGCUCCAAGUGAUGACCACGAUUACUGGGUUUAAAGCGUUCGUAGCCGGUUUCGCAAGUCCCUGGUGAAAUCAAUCGGUUAACCGAUUGGCUUGCUGGGGAGACUUCGAGACUUGGAACCGGGAGAGGUCAAAGGUACUCCAGGGGUAAGGGUAAAAUCUUAUAAUCCUUGGGGGACCACCUGUGGCGAAGGCGUUUGACUAGAACGGAUUCGACGGUGAGGGACGAAAGCUAGGGGAGCAAACCGGAUUAGAUACCCGGGUAGUCCUAGCUGUAAACGAUGCCCACUAGACAUUGGCAAUCCCACGCGGGUUGCCAGAGUCGUAGGGAAACCGAUAAGUGGGCCACCUGGGGAGUACGGUCGCAAGGCUGAAACUUAAGGGAAUUGGCGGGGGAGCACACAAGGGGUGGAGGCUGCGGUUCAAUUCGACUCAACGCGGGAAACCUUACCAGAGGCGACAGCAGAAUGAAGGUCAGGCUCAAGGUCUUACCAGACAAGCUGAGAAGUAGUGCAUGGCCGUCGUCAGUUCGUGCUGUGAAGUGUCGUCUUAAGUGACGUAACGAACAAGACCCAUGCCACAUGUUGCUAACCAAUUCAUUUGGUGCACUCAUGUGGGACCGCUGGCGAUAAGUCAGAGGAAGGCGUGGUCGACGGCGGGUCCGUAUGCCCUGAAUCCUCUGGGUAACACGCGGCCUACAAUGGAUAGGACAAUGAGAUGCGACACCGAAAGGUGAAGCUAAUCUCCAAACCUAUUCCCAGUUCGGAUCGAGGGUUGCAACUCACCCUCGUGAAGCCGAAAUCCCUAGUAGUCGCUGGUUAGCAUCUAGCGGCGAAUAAGUUCCUGCUCCUUGCACACACUGCCCGUCAAGCCAUCCGAGUGGAGUUCUGGCGAGGUUUCUUCAUCGGAAGAGAUCGAACCAAGACUUUGCAAGGAGGGCUAAGUCGUAACAAGGUA
rnacentral:rRNA from 1 species